GAGAAGAACGUAGCGAAAUGCGAUAAGUAGUGUGAAUUGCAGAAUUCAGUGAAUCAUCGAAUCUUUGAACGCACAUUGCGCCCCUUGGUAUUCCAUGGGGCAUGCCUGUUCGAGCGUCAUUUGUACCUUCAAGCUUUGCUUGGUGUUGGGUGUUUGUCUCGCCUUUGCGUGUAGACUCGCCUUAAAAUAAUUGGCAGCCGGCGUAUUGAUUUCGGAGCGCAGUACAUCUCGCGCUUUGCACUCAUAACGACAGCGUCCAAAAGUACAUUUUACACUCUUGACCUCGGAUCAGGUAGGGAUACCCGCUGAACUUAAGCAUAUCAAUAAGCGGAGGA
rnacentral:misc_RNA from 1 species